rnacentral:rRNA from 1 species
UACGUAGGAUGCAAGCGUUGUCCGGAAUUAUUGGGCGUAAAGAGCGCGCAGGCGGUCUAUCAAGUCAGAUGUGAAAUAGCCCGGCUUAACCGGGCGGGGUCAUUUGAAACUGGUAGAGUAGAGUACAGCAGAGGAUAGCGGAAUUCCCGGUGUAGUGGUGAAAUGCGUAGAUAUCGGGAGGAACACCAGUGGCGAAGGCGGCUAUCUGGGCUGAAACUGACGCUGAGGCGCGAAGGCUAGGGGAGCAAACAGG